rnacentral:rRNA from 1 species
CUACGGGAGGCAGCAGUGGGGAAUAUUGGACAAUGGGGGCAACCCUGAUCCAGCCAUGCCGCGUGUGUGAAGAAGGCCUUUUGGUUGUAAAGCACUUUAAGCAGGGAGGAGAGGCUAAUGGUUAAUACCCAUUAGAUUAGACGUUACCUGCAGAAUAAGCACCGGCUAACUCUGUGCCAGCAGCCGCGGUAAUACAGAGGGUGCGAGCGUUAAUCGGAAUUACUGGGCGUAAAGCGAGUGUAGGUGGCUCAUUAAGUCACAUGUGAAAUCCCCGGGCUUAACCUGGGAACUGCAUGUGAUACUGGUGGUGCUAGAAUAUGUGAGAGGGAAGUAGAAUUCCAGGUGUAGCGGUGAAAUGCGUAGAGAUCUGCAGGAAUACCGAUGGCGAAGGCAGCUUCCUGGCAUAAUAUUGACACUGAGAUUCGAAAGCGUGGGUAGCAAACAGGAUUAGAUACCCUAGUAGUC